ACUCAAAGGAAUAGACGGGGGCCCGCACAAGCGGUGGAUCAUGUGGUUUAAUUCGAAGCAACGCGCAAAACCUUACCUAGGUUUGACAUCCUCUGACCGCUGUAGAAAUACAGUUUUUGUAGCAAUACAACAGAGAGACAGGUGCUGCAUGGCUGUCGUCAGCUCGUGUGGUGACAUGUUGGGUUAAGUCCCGCAACGAGCGCAACCCUUGCCUUUAGUUGCCAGCAUUAAGUUGGGCACUCUAGAGGGACUGCCGUGGUUAACACGGAGGAAGGUGGGGAUGACGUCAAGUCCUCAUGGCCUUUAUAUCUAGGGCGACACACGUGAUACAAUGGUUGGUACAGAGGGAAGCGAACUCGCAAGAGGGAGCCAAUCUCAAAAAGCCAAUCUCAGUUCGGAUUGAAGUCUGCAACUCGACUUCAUGAAGUUGGAAUCGCUAGUAAUCGCGGAUCAGCACGCCGCGGUGAAUACGUUCCCGGGCCUUGUACACACCGCCCGU
rnacentral:rRNA from 1 species